rnacentral:rRNA from 2 species
CCGUAGGUGAACCUGCGGAAGGAUCAUUAUCGAAAU